rnacentral:rRNA from 1 species
CCUACGGGUGGCUGCAGUGAGGAAUAUUGGUCAAUGGGCGCGAGCCUGAACCAGCCAAGUAGCGUGAAGGAUGACUGCCCUACGGGUUGUAAACUUCUUUUAUAAAGGAAUAAAGUGAGGCACGUGUGCCUUUUUGUAUGUACUUUAUGAAUAAGGAUCGGCUAACUCCGUGCCAGCAGCGGCGGUCAUACGGCGGAUCCGAGCGUUAUCCGGAUUUAUUGGGUUUAAAGGGAGCGUAGAUGGGUUGUUAAGUCAGUGGUAAAAUCGUGGGGCUCAACCCCAUCCAGCCGUUGAAACUGGGGAUCUAGAGUGUGCGAGAGGUAUGCGGAAUGCGUGGUGUAGCGGUGAAAUGCAUAGAUAUCACGCAGAACCCCGAUUGCGAAGGCAGCAUACCGGUGCACAACUGACGCUCAGGCACGAAAGCGUGGGUAUCGAACAGGAUUAGAUACCCGUGUAGUC